CAACAUGCCAGUGCAUGACUUGGCAGUCAAUGAGGUUGCCUUGUCUUCACAUACUGGCAGCUCGAUCUGAUCUCGGAUUGAACAUGUUCACUGAAGAACUUUGUGACAGAAGAUGGUCUUUAGAUUACUACAAAUCUAACCACAGAGCAUUUUCACCUAUUGCUCAUCAAAGCCCGUCUACAGCAACCAUCGUUAGCUUUGAAACACCACCAAGAAAAGUACACUCUCAGUUUGAAAAAUUCCAUCAGGCUUCAAAGAUUGCUACCAAACUUGCUAGUUUAGCUUCAGAAGCAUCAGGAGUCAAUUUCACCAGCAGAUUGAAUGUGAUGAAAGAGUUGGUUUCUGCUUGGGAAAUGGACAAGAAGUGGAACUGAUCAGUGAUUCAACUGAAGGAGAGAAACAUGAUGAGGUCUUACAACUACUGCUUAAUCUUGACAAACCUUUGACAGAUGAUCAUUCACUAAAAUCAGACAAAACAAACUUUGCAAAGAAUAAAGCAGUAUGUGCGCCUACUGAAAAUAUCAUUGUUCAGGAGCCAAGAAGUGUUACAGUUAGUGAAUCACAACCACUCUCUCAUCCAUCAGAAACUCUCUCAUCCGAAGCAACUACCUCUAACUAUGACAAACGAAAUUUACAAAAUCUCCAAAUUUACCGGCUAAGAAGAAAGCAAAGUCAGGAAAAGUACAACCAUUCAUUAAGUUACACACAUCAUUGAAAGAAAGAGUCAUGUUAGCAUGGUUUGUUGAUGACAAUAUAGCAGCUGCUGCACUACAAAAUCGCAAGACGCUGAUCGAUGAAUCAGACAUCAAAGUUCAGCAAGGAAACAUCUCUAAUGCAGUCCUUGAUGACAAUGUUGACUUGCACAUAAUUCGAAACUUUUUCACCUAUGAUGCCUGGCUACUACUUACAGAUGUUGUCAAGCAGAAACGUAAACAUUGCAGUUAUGUUUGCCAAGUUUGCUUUCACAACUUGGAUGAGGAAGCAUCAAUUUUGUGUGACUAUUGCCUCUUGUGGUCCCACAUGAGUUGUGUUGGUCUUAAAGAAAGACCCAAAUCAAAGUGGUGGUUUUGCCAAAGCUGUCACAAGACUAGCAAAUAAGAUAAACUGGCUGUAGAGGCAACUGUUGCUAUGUAAAAUUAGAAACGUGUGUGUAUUAUGUGCAAGCUAUGCAGUGUUGUUUGACUAUAUAUUAAGAGCAAGAUCUGGCAGAGCAGAUGACAGAAUCAUGUAAUGCUAUUUUACCAGUAUCUUUUUACUCUCUUCAAACCACAGUGACAUAAGAACUAAAAUGAUAAUCUACCUACCUAUGUAUGCACCUGCCUACCUACCUAACUAUAUACCAUAUAGUUACGUAUAUAACCGGUUAUUACUGCAAUUUGA